rnacentral:lncRNA from 1 species
UUUUUUUUUUUUUUUUUUUUAGGGUAAACUUCAAAUACUAUUUCUAUAUAUUUCGUACUUUCUCACUUUAGUAUUCUGUAAUUUAAAAUGUAUCAAUUUAGUACCCUGUGGUUUUAAUUUUUAAUUUACGUCGGUCCCUCCGUUAACUUUUCGUUAAAUCAUAUUCAAAAAACUUCAGAUACCCCACCUAUGAUUUAUCGAAUAUUUGCUUUAUUAUUUUUUUAUUUUAACUUUGUCACUGAUUUAACGAAAAAAAAAUUAGUGCAGGAGAUAAUAAAAAGAAAAAAAUAAACCACAGAGUACGAAAAUAAUACAUUCUAAAACACAGAAUAUUAAAAUAAAAAAGUACGCAACCAGAGAAGUGGUAUUUGAUUUUUUUUUUUUUUUUAACCUAUCAUU